UUGAGCGUCUUUAGAACGAACAACACAGUACACAGCGCACGCAAACCUGCAUUAUAAAAAGGAAGUAGGUUCACUUUUUGAUGGUAGAUGCAUUGUUGUCCACCUUCGUCGGUUCAACGUUGAAUGGGAAACGUCUGACACGUAGCAGUCUACGAGCGUUGCCCCGCCACUCACAGCCGUGUGGUCAGAUCCAGCAACGAGAGCACGUCGGUCUUCCAGACACAGGGAAUUGUUGCUUUGUCAACGCUACACUUAUAGCCCUGUUUUCUCUCGCGAAUUUUUGCCGUGAUUUUGUGCGAUCGGUAAAAACGUCUUCAACUCCGAAAUCCAGGUGGUGUACCGAAUUUUUGUUCAGCUGGUGGAAGUCCACAACAGGGGUUUGGCCGCGCUUAUUAACGAAAUUCAUUGGUAAGCAAUUUUUUCCCCGUCGAGCACACGCUACGUUUAGUUAGUAGAUUUGCUAUUUCGGACUAAAAUAUAUCUCAUGUACAGACUCACACGAAUGCAUAUGGUAGCUAAACUUUUAAUGAUUGUUUUUAUUGUGAGUUCAUGGCUCACUUGAGUGAAGUGGAUAGAAGGCUUUUGAUGGGACAGCAACAGGACGUCUACGAAUUCCUUAUGGGCUAUUUUCACGGUUGGAGGUUGAACUAUGCCUAACAACUUUCCGGCUUUUAUUGACAGACACUUCGCUUCUAUUCUUGUAAGAACGAACAUCCGCAACCAGUAAGCAACAGAGUUUCCCUAUUUAGUGACACG